GACGUAGGGCGCGAGCGUUGUCCGGAUUUAUUGGGCGUAAAGAGCUCGUAGGCGGCUUGUCGCGUCGUCCGUGAAAACCUGCAGCUCAACUGCAGGCUUGCGGUCGAUACGGGCAGGCUAGAGUUCGGUAGGGGAGACUGGAAUUCCUGGUGUAGCGGUGAAAUGCGCAGAUAUCAGGAGGAACACCGGUGGCGAAGGCGGGUCUCUGGGACGUUACUGACGCUGAGACGCGAAAGCGUGGGGAGCAAACAGG
rnacentral:rRNA from 1 species